CCCUUUGGAGAUUGUAUCUACAUAGACUGAUCUAUGUCAUUUCCAACAGUCUAUUUCUCUGCGGCAAACAUUGUCAAUCAUGUCUGUCAUCGAAUGGGAAAUUUUGCGGGUAGAUCUUCCUAUUUUGUAUAAGAAAAUAUUAUUUAAACACUUUUUUUUUUACUUUUUAUAUAUAUUUAUUAAUUUUUUAUCAUUAAUUUUUUUUAAUUUAUUUGAUUUGGUAAUUUAAAAUUAAAAAGAAUAUGUAAAGAAUAAAAAAUAUAUAUAAAUAGCAGUGCUCUUUUUAUUUAAGGAUCACAACAGUUUCAUAAAUUCUGAUCCUCAACAACUAAAAACAAUUAUGGGGAUUUAUUUGUAUGAUUAGUAAUUUCAAACAUAAAUUUCUUUCAUUUUUAUGCAAAAAGAGUUCAGACCAAGAAACAAGAGUUGGAAGAUUACUUCGUGUGGUUUGCAUGUCAUCGAGGCAAACCAUGUGUUACCGAUGUUGCAAAUAUCAUGAUCGCUAAAAUUAGGUUAAUAUUGUUCUAUUAGAAAACGAGAAUCACGAGAACCUAGGAAAUGCAUAUAGCUUGAUCCCCCCAAACUUCAUCAUUUGCAAAUUUAAUUGUUUUUGUGGGGGGCGUGCGGCUGCCACUAGCCAACUAAGUUCUACUUGAGGGAAAAGAGAAAGUGGAUUAACUAGCAACGAGAGUCUAUAUAUGGUACAUUCUUGUUUUCUAAAUGUCACCUUUUCCAUAAAGAUUUUGCUAGUUAAACUAAUUUUUUAAAUUAAAUUUACAAAUUAUGUGAUCUGUCAUUAUACAAAAUAAACACCUUAAUUAAUAUUUAAAUAAUAAUUCAAUCAUUAACUAUCGCAUCAUAUAAUUUAAAUAAAUAAAUAAUCUCUCUAGUAUUACCUUUUCUAUAAACCUUAAACUUCACUAAAACUUAUAAUAAAAUUAAAUUGUUAGAGUAGAACACUCAAUUUUCUGCUUUUGGUCCUCAAACUAUCAUUACACUCUCUUUUUUUAACCAAAAGGAAAAAAGCUAGAUUCUCCAAAACAAUUCCAUAUGGCCUAGCUAUGGAGCAAGAUUUAUGUGAAUAUUCAAUAAAUAUAAAGAAAAUAAAAGAUUUGUUUUGUGGUGUGGAAGUGGAAUUGUAAGUUGGCCUCUUAUUUAAUCACAAUUCCAUUCGUUUAUGGGCCAAGAUGCCAUGAUUACAGUAGCAUACAUCAAUUUUCUGCUAAGCAGAUUUAAUAUAUAAAUGAUAUGACAACUUAGUAAUUUACAUGUCAAUAUCUUGAUAAUUAUAUUUUUUUACGAAAAACUAAAAAAAAGAGUUUAAAAAUUUUGAGUUUUAACGAUAAGGAUAAAAUAAAGGUUAAAGUAAAUAGUACCAAAAUUGAUUUUUUAGUGUAAAAAUGUGAUUUUUUGUUAAAGUAAAUAGUAUUAGGAAUUUUGGUUAUAAUUCCCUAUUUUUUAAGGAAGUUAUUUAACCCUAGCAGUAAUACUAAUAGGGGAGUUGCUCAACUCAAGUUUUUGAAAGCUUUACGUAAUUUCUGAUGUGGGACUAGCCACUUUAACUUGUCUUUUGCACGUAGAGACGCCCAAACUAAAUACGUAGACAACUUUAGCUUCACGUCCUCGCAAUUAUGCUCCCUCAAAAAUCAGUGGAAUCACAAUAUGAUUAAUGAGAAGGUUUUUUGACUAGUACUAUUAGUAUAUCAGAAGGUGCUUGGUGGUGAUAAUCAAAGAUUCCAAUGAAAUUGAAGUUGAAAGUGUUUAGGGAUGGUCGUGUAACGUGUUUGGAUCAAAUGAAAUAGAAGUUGGGGGUUUCACUAUCUUAUAGGAUUCUUUGUCAUCCACACAAAGAGGCUUUGUAAGUUGGUGGUGGGUUUUAAUGUUUCCAUAAAAUCAUCUCCUUCCCUGGGUUAUAUCCAUGUCCCAUCUCAUCAUCAAAUCAUGCCACCCUUGAAUCUUAAAUCAUAUCUUAAGAGCCUAUAUAAAUAUUAAUAUAAAUUAAUUUUAAUUUUAAUUUCAAAUUAAGUUUUUAAUUAAUUUAAUUAAAAACGUUUUGAUUAAUAGACACAACUGUUGGAAAGAGUUGUGUGGUUUCAGAUACAUCCAAAAUGUAUUUGAAGAUGUAUGAAAGAGCCUAUAUAACAUAAGUCUCAGUUCCAUCGUACAUCAUCUUUCUCUUUUUCCCAUCUCUCCCAUACAAAACCUUAGAGAGAGUAAACACACAAAGCAAUUCGCCAUAAUUCUAUAAACUAGUGCUUAUUGUAGAAUUAGAUAGUUGUAUCCUGGUCGAACAGACGACGUAAAACCACAAGUACAAAAGUGGGACGGAAAUACUGUUUGAAGGAUUCUGUUAUUUUAUUUAUUUUUUGAAUUGUUCUCCAAUAAUAGUGCACAAUAAAAAAUUUGGAGUGCUGUUUUCAAUUUAUUUCAGUAAUCAUCAUCAAUAAAGAAUAAAGAGUUGUGAGCCUAUUUAUGAGGUGGGACGUAAGUAGAACAACAUUUCAUACAUUUCACCAAAAAAUAUAGAAGAAAACCAAAGAAAGAACUUUGCAGCUGGUUAAAAAACUGAGACAAGAUAUACAUUGUGAACAAAAGAAACUAUAAGUGAUCAAUAUCAUAUAAUUACGAAGAACACAUGCAUCCAUAAUCAAUCACUAGUACACGAGUGCGCGACUAAACCUAGCCCUAAUCUCAUAUAAAAAGGCUACUAAUGCUUCAUCCUAUCUUAAAGUGUUAUUUAUUAGUGCUAGGGCACUAACUUCUUCUCCAAAAACUUCAAGUUUGAAGUGAAGUUCAUGAAAUAGACCUAGAUAGCAAGCUAGGUUCAUCCAUGUAUAAUAUAUAGGGUCAUCCGGAAUACACGUAUCAUAUAAUAUAUGAAAAUUAAUGAUGAAAAAUGAGAUCCCUUCUGUCCCCAACAAUCCACCUCACCCCUUUUAAUCUCUUUAAAUAAAUAACAAAUUAAUUAUCUUUUUAAUAAGUUAAUUAAGAGAUUCUGCGUAGUGCAAAAUCUGUGUGGCUAUUUUCUGCAAAACAUGGCUCCUAUAAAUACCAAUCAAGGAUUCGAUCAUCCCUUGAUGACUUGAGUUACAAAGCUCCAACCGAAAGCACACAGAAAACUCCCUGUCCUUGUUCUCCUGCACCUCCCGAAGAUAUAGGAGAACGAGACUGUUACUUAUAUAUCUGAGCCAGCUAAAUGUAUGGUUUAGGCAAGCUUGCCCAACGCUUUCAACUACCAAUUUUAGUUGUUUUCCUUGACUGUUAAUUAAUUGCAGACGUGAUACAAAUAUUGUAGUUGUAUCGAUCAAUGGGAACAUUUAUCAUAACUACCAGCCUAGCAUAUAGUGAGAUGGAUAAAAUAAAACCCUAAGAUAACGAUUGUUGUUUGCCAAGACUUGAUGGAUAGCUUAUUUAUAAGGAAAAUAGGAGGUUAGUUUCCCAUCAAUGUUUUUGGUUAUUCAACAAAUUGGAAAGGAGAGUCAUAACAUGAAAAACAAACCCAAAAUUGGUGAAAUGUCCAACCAAUGCAUGCAUUGUAUAUUAACCAAGGGAAUUCAAUACAUAUUCAAUGUAGUAUAUCUGCAAGAGACUUUUAAUUUUCACAAAUUAUAUAUAAUCAUGUGUUUAUCUUUUUCAUAACGUGUUAGUCAUGCAAUGAGGAAGAUAUAUUAGUCAUGCAAUGAGGAAGAUAUAUACCCAUAAGAUAAAUUAUAUAGAACCAGGGAAACGCUGGAUUUUCCCAUACAUAUAUACUCUUAAGAUAUCCCUCAUAACCUAACUCCCUUACAUUCUACCCCCUUAGGUUUUGAUGUAAUUGCAACCUCAUACAAUAUCUUUAAAACAUUUCUAUUUUAUACAUUUACUAUUAUUUUAUUUCAAUUUCAUACAACUGUUACAAGUCUAUUAAAUUAACCGUUAAGUGAUGACAUGGUAAAUAUUAAAAUUUAGAAUAUUAAAAUAAUUAAUUAAAUAAAAGUUAAAAAAAAUAAAAAAUAAAAAAAAUCCCUUUUGUCUUCCUCAAUCGAGC
rnacentral:lncRNA from 1 species